rnacentral:rRNA from 1 species
UCUAGAUUAGACUUUGAUCCUGGCUCAGAAUCAACGCUGGCGGCGUGCCUAACACAUGCAAGUCGAACGCGAAAGCCCCGCAAGGGGUAAGUAGAGUGGCAGACGGGUGAGUAACGCGUGGGUGACCUACCUUCGAGUGGGGGACAACGUUCCGAAAGGGACGCUAAUACCGCAUGACAUCCUGCCUUUGAACAGGUGGCGAUCAAAGCCGGGGCCGUAAGGCCUGGCGCUUGAUGAGGGGCCCGCGUCCGAUUAGCUAGUUGGUGGGGUAAUGGCUCACCAAGGCGACGAUCGGUAGCCGGCCUAAGAGGGCGGACGGCCACACUGGGACUGAGACACGGCCCAGACUCCUACGGGAGGCAGCAGUGGGGAAUUGUUCGCAAUGGGCGCAAGCCUGACGACGCAACGCCGCGUGGAGGAUGAAGAUCUUCGGGUCGUAAACUCCUGUCGAGCGGGACGAAUGGUCCGCGACCUAAUACGUCGUGGAAAUGACGGUACCGCUAGAGGAAGCCCCGGCUAACUCCGUGCCAGCAGCCGCGGUAAUACGGGGGGGGCUAGCGUUGUUCGGAAUUACUGGGCGUAAAGGGCUCGUAGGUGGCCAACUCAGUCAGACGUGAAAUCCCUCGGCUUAACCGGGGAACUGCGUCUGAUACUGGCUGGCUUGAAUCCGGGAGAGGGAUGCGGAAUUCCAGGUGUAGCGGUGAAAUGCGUAGAUAUCUGGAGGAACACCGGUGGCGAAGGCGGCAUCCUGGACCGGUAUUGACACUGAGGAGCGAAAGCCAGGGGAGCAAACGGGAUUAGAUACCCCGGUAGUCCUGGCCCUAAACGAUGAAUGCUUGGUGUGACGGGUAUCGAUCCCUGUCGUGCCGAAGCUAACGCAUUAAGCAUUCCGCCUGGGGAGUACGGUCGCAGGCUGAAACUCAGGAAUUGACGGGGGCCCGCACAAGCGGUGGAGCAUGUGGUUCAAUUUCGACGCAGCAAAACCUUACCCAGGCUUGAACUGCGAGGGACACUCACGAAAGUGAGCUUCCGCAACUCUCUAAGGUGCUGCAUGGCGCAGCUCGCGAUGGGAUCCACACACCUCAUCGUGCGGCUCUGAGACCCGAGA